AUCACCAGGCCUGACCACAUCUUCAAUACUUCCUAAGUACUUGCAUGCUGGACAACUUGUACAGGAAACCCUACAGAAUAACCUGGUCCCAGAGUGCACCUGUUGCUAAGCCCCAGACAGAAGGGCUCUCACGAGACUGGCUGCUCCCCUUUAAGGCGACAUCAUGAAGAGUUAUGCGUUCACAGGCCAGCAGCCCAGUCCUGCAGCCGAGUCCUGCAGCUCAUCACUGUUGCCCCUCGCAUGAUUCGCAUGCAGAAGCAAGCACUAGCACCUGCACACAUGCUCUGAAAACUCUACUCAACAGCAGCUAACAGAGCUAAGGGAAAGAAGGCGCUUACGUUUGGCAUUGAGAGAGACUGGUCCAGCCCGAUGUCUACUUUGUUCAGCACCGCAACACUGAAUGACAGGACGCCCACAAACACCGCUACCUGGAAAAGCAAACCGAGAGACGGUUGCUGAUGGAACCAUAAACUGAAGAAGAGAAAUAGUCUUACACCCCAAA
rnacentral:lncRNA from 1 species